rnacentral:rRNA from 1 species
AACGUUUCGAAGGAAGCUAAUACCGCAUACGUCCUACGGGAGAAAGCAGGGGACCUUCGGGCCUUGCGCUAUCAGAUGAGCCUAGGUCGGAUUAGCUAGUUGGUGGGGUAAUGGCUCACCAAGGCGACGAUCCGUAACUGGUCUGAGAGGAUGAUCAGUCACACUGGAACUGAGACACGGUCCAGACUCCUACGGGAGGCAGCAGUGGGGAAUAUUGGACAAUGGGCGAAAGCCUGAUCCAGCCAUGCCGCGUGUGUGAAGAAGGUCUUCGGAUUGUAAAGCACUUUAAGUUGGGAGGAAGGGCAGUAAGCUAAUACCUUGCUGUUUUGACGUUACCGACAGAAUAAGCACCGGCUAACUCUGUGCCAGCAGCCGCGGUAAUACAGAGGGUGCAAGCGUUAAUCGGAAUUACUGGGCGUAAAGCGCGCGUAGGUGGUUUGUUAAGUUGGAUGUGAAAGCCCCGGGCUCAACCUGGGAACUGCAUCCAAAACUGGCAAGCUAGAGUACGGUAGAGGGUGGUGGAAUUUCCUGUGUAGCGGUGAAAUGCGUAGAUAUAGGAAGGACCCCCAGUG